UCCAUGAGUAAAGCGGCGUACGGGUGAGUAACACGUGGGUAAUCUACCUUUUAGUGGGGAAUAACCCUGGGAAACCGGGGCUAAUACCGCAUAAUCCUGCAAAGGGAAAGCAGCAAUGCGCUGAAAGAGGAGCCCGCGGCCGAUUAGCUAGUUGGUGGGGUAAUGGCUCACCAAGGCGGUGAUCGGUAGCCGGCCUGAGAGGGCACACGGCCACACUGGCACUGAAACACGGGCCAG
rnacentral:rRNA from 1 species